rnacentral:rRNA from 1 species
AUACGUAGGGGGCGAGCGUUGUCCGGAAUGAUUGGGCGUAAAGGGCGCGUAGGCGGCGCGGUAAGUCUGGAGUGAAAGUCCUGCUUUCAAGGUGGGAAUUGCUUUGGAUACUGCCGCGCUUGAGUGCAGGAGAGGUUAUCGGAAUUCCCGGUGUAGCGGUGAAAUGCGUAGAGAUCGGGAGGAACACCAGUGGCGAAGGCGGGUAACUGGACUGCAACUGACGCUGAGGCGCGAAAGUGUGGGGAGCAAACAGGAUUAGAUACCCUGGUAGUCCACGCGGUAAACGAUGAAUGCUAGGUGUUGCGGGUAUCGACCCCUGCAGUGCCGGAGUAAACACAAUAAGCAUUCCGCCUGGGGAGUACGGCCGCAAGGUUGAAACUCAAAUGAAUUGGCGGGG